CAAAACAACACAUUAUAGCUCACAUAACUUUACACAUAACAUCACACAUGACACCAAACCAAAACAACACAUUAUAGCUCACUUAACUUAACACAACACCACAAACUCCUUAUGUCACACUCAACACCACACCAGAAAAAAAAUCUACACACCACACAUAAGACCACACCACACAUGACACCAAACAUAACACCACAUAUCACAGAUGUUACCACAUAUAACACAACACAUGACACCUAAUCACCACAUGUCACAAUACCACACAUCACACCAAUCAUAAACCACCACAGCACAAAUGACACUUCAAACCCCAUCAAACAAGACACCACUCAUAAUACCACACGCCACACCACAAAUGACACAAAAUGUACUACAGACGCUACUGAAAGGUACCCGUGUUUAAGCCUGACAUCAUUAUUUGGUAGCAUGAAAGUUUUGCUUGUUAAACAAUUGUGAUACAAUUAUAAACUAUAUACAUACAGAGAGAGAGACAGAGAGAGAACAAACAGAUUAGAUGGAAAGAUUGGGAGAGAGAAAUGGACAAAGAGAGAGAAAGUGACUGAAUGAGUUCGUACAAACUAGAUAUAUAUUUAACCAAGUGCGUUGUAGCGGGCAGCUGAAUGCCCCUCUAGUGAAAAAAAAAUUAAAUGGGGGAUAUUUCCCCUUUGCAUUUAUGCUAUAAAAAAUGUGUAUAUGUAUACCAAAGGGUUGUAACUGUGUAUUUAAAAAGCCUAGUUUAUUGUUUUAAGAGUUGUCUACCGUUGAAUGUGAUACUGUUCAGUGCAGCAUGUGAUAUUUAUAAAAUGACAGUAUUUCAUCAACAUUCUAUCAAUAUUCUUUGAAUUUUCCACUUGGAUGACAAAAAAAU